rnacentral:lncRNA from 1 species
UGAGUGCUCCCGUAGUCCCACUCACUUCCCAGUGUUUGAUCUUUUUUUUUGAUUUUGUAAAUGAAUAUAUUGAUCAAAAGAAUAGACCUCCGGACAUACCAAGAGGCAGACAAACAGAAGGCACAUGGCCUAAACUAGACAUUCAACCUAUGAAAUACAGAUCAAGAUCUAGGCCUCAAACAAGGCCAACAAAAACAAAUCCCACCACCGG